ACACGGAAAUCACAUUUCAGUCAUCGCAAUGGAAACAUCCAACAUCACUGAGACCAAAGAAAGCAUGGCAGGUGCGCAGCAAUGACAAAGUCAUGUUGACCAUUUUCUUUGUCUCAUGUGAGGUGGUGCACCAUGGCUGAACCAGAAGGCCACAGGUGGGAAUCGAACUGGGGAAGGGU